rnacentral:lncRNA from 10 species
CUCAUUACUCUCCCCUUCCCCCUACCUGUCCAACAGCUCUGAAAAAUAGUUAGGAUGAGAAAACGACCCUCAUUGUAAAGAUGAAGAAACCGAAGUUCAGAGAAGUCACAAAACUACAAAGUGGCACACCCCAAGCUAGAACCUCCUUCCUCUCAUUUGAAGGACCAUCAAACCAGCUGUUCCCCUCAUGGAAGAGGAGCAUAGACAUAAAAUGUCAAGGCAAUGGGGAAGGGGCAGAGAAAAGGCACAAACACUUGGAGGAGAGACAGAACAAUUAAUUGGCACAAAAAUACAGUAUUGGUGUCAGGAGGCUUUGGUGGGCUUGGAAACAUCAAGCAGCAGAUCUGAAGGAAAUCCAGCCCUGGCAUGAAAGAAACGGGGCAGGCCAGGCGCAGUGGCUCACUCCUGUAAUCUCAGCAUUUUGGGAGGCAAAGGCGGGUGGAUCACCUGAGGUCGGGAGUUCAACACCAGCCUGGCCAAUAUGGUGAAGCCCCAUCUCUACAAAAAAUACAAAAAGUUAGCCGAGCGUGGUGGCGGGCAACUAUAAUCCCAGCUGCCUGGGAGACUGAGGCAGGAGAAUUGCUUGAACCUGGGAGGCGGAGGUUGCAGUGAGCCGAGACCAUGUCACUGCACUCCAGCCUGGGCAUGACAGAGCGAGACUCCAUCUCAAACAAAAAAAAAAAAAAGAAAAGAAAAAAAUAAACCGGGCAGCACACCCCUCUGCGAUAGGAGAGCCUGGGGUAGAGAUCAGAGAGAACUUCUCGGCCAGGCGUGGUGGCUCAUGCCUGUAAUCCCAGCAAUUUGGGAGGCCAAGGUGGGCAGAUCACUUGAGGUCAGGAGUUCGAGACCAGCCUGGCCGACAUGGUGAAACCCCAUCUCUACUGAAAAUACAGAAAUUAGCCAGGCAUGGCAGCGGGCACCUGUAAUGCCAGCUACUCGGGAGGCUGAGGCAGGAGAAUGGCGUGAACCCGGGAGGCAGAGGUUGCAGUGAGCUGAGAUCAUGCCAUUGCACUCCAGCCUGGGUGACAGAGUGAGACUCUGUCUCAAAAAAAUAAAAAGGACUUCUCACAGGCAGCUUAAGAAGACAAGGGCACUUCCUUUCUGUGGUUGAUGACAUGAAUGCUGCUCGUGGCUGUAUGGUGUGCCAAGGGCCCUACAAACAUUCCUUCAUUCAACACUUGAGUAUUCAUUGUCAACUGUAUGUUAGGCACUGGUGAACACAGAAAAUAAAACCUGGUGACACAGGAAAUAAAAAUGAUCCCAACCUUCAAAGAGCUCAUAGAAGGAUAAGCAGAAGCAGCGUGUGUGGGUGGGUUUUGGAGGAGUGGUGGUUUAGAA